AGUCGGACGAGAAGGUUCCUUCGGGAACUGGAGAGUGGCGCACGGGUGAGUAACGCGUGGGGACCUACCUCUUAGUGGGGGAUAACGGUUGGAAACGACCGCUAAUACCGCAUACGCCCUUCGGGGGAAAGAUUUAUCGCUAAGAGAUGGACCCGCGUUGGAUUAGAUAGUUGGUGAGGUAACGGCUCACCAAGUCAGCGAUCCAUAGCUGGUUUGAGAGGAUGAUCAGCCACACUGGGACUGAGACACGGCCCAGACUCCUACGGGAGGCAGCAGUGGGGAAUAUUGGACAAUGGGGGCAACCCUGAUCCAGCCAUGCCGCGUGAGUGAAGAAGGCCUUCGGGUUGUAAAGCUCUUUCAGAUGCGAAGAUGAUGACGGUAACAUCAGAAGAAGCCCCGGCUAAUUUCGUGCCAGCAGCCGCGGUAA
rnacentral:rRNA from 1 species